CAAUACUUGGGUUGCAGUCACGUGGUUCUGAUGACGUGCGGAGGCAGCGCGAUUUUUGAGUGGAGGGCGGAAGUAAACAUGGAGGACACUGUGGAGAGUCAGGAGAGCAGCUAUUGUGCAACUUUAGACCCCGUUUCUCGGGAGAGAUAUAAACAGAUAGUUAAAAAAUAUAUCGGACGUGAUCCGUAUUCUUUGAAAAUGUCCGAAUACACCACAGAAGUAAAGGAUUUGCCUACUAUCGACGCUGUGGAUAUCACCAACUACUUGGUCCUCCAGACUUCUUACUACACUAGGGAGCAAAUGAAAGCUUUCAAGAGUCUGGAGGCGUACAAUUUUUUUGUCAGCGGGUGGGUCCACAACCUUGGAACAAAACGUCUCCGUGAUGGAUACAGUUUGGUGUUUGCAAGGGUAAACCAUUCUCAGAGGUCUAACGAGACACCUCUGAAGACUUGGGUAAUUGCAAAGGAGGAUGGAGAAGUGAUUGCAGCCCAUUGCAAUUGUAUGGCAGGACUAUCAGAAUCAUGCUCGCAC
ensembl:lncRNA